rnacentral:rRNA from 1 species
GAUGAACGCUGGCGGCGUGCCUAAUACAUGCAAGUCGAGCGAACGGACGAGAAGCUUGCUUCUCUGAUGCUAGCGGCGGACGGGUGAGUAACACGUGGAUAACCUACCUAUAAGACUGGGAUAACUUCGGGAAACCGGAGCUAAUACCGGAUAAUAUUUUGAACCGCAUGGUUCAAAAGUGAAAGACGGUCUUGCUGUCACUUAUAGAUGGAUCCGCGCUGCAUUAGCUAGUUGGUAAGGUAACGGCUUACCAAGGCAACGAUGCAUAGCCGACCUGAGAGGGUGAUCGGCCACACUGGAACUGAGACACGGUCCAGACUCCUACGGGAGGCAGCAGUAGGGAAUAUUCCGCAAUGGGCGAAAGCCUGACGGAGCAACGCCGCGUGAGUGAUGAAGGUCUUCGGAUCGUAAAACUCUGUUAUUAGGGAAGAACAUAUGUGUAAGUAACUGUGCACAUCUUGACGGUACCUAAUCAGAAAGCAACGGCUAACUACGUG